UCAUUUUCGACGGCAUUACGGUAA
rnacentral:siRNA from 1 species